rnacentral:rRNA from 1 species
CCUGGCGGCACUAGCGCGGUGGUCCCACCUGACCCCAUGCCGAACUCAGAACUGAAACGCCGUAGCGCCGAUGGUAGUGUGGGGUCUCCCCAUGUGAGAGUAGGGAACUGCCAGGC